CAUUCCAUUAGGUCUACCUUAGCGUUGUACAAAAAGAGAAACGAAAUAGGAAGAAGAUCUACUCACGUCAAAGUGAAUAAUCGAGUUUGACCGAAAAGAAUUCGCAAGUGUCACACUGAAUUGUCCCAGAAAUAACCUGUCGGGCAUGAAAACAACAACGAACCAGUCGCCGCUCCAGAUACGUUUUUGCGUCGUCCGUUGUACGAUAAUUACCUACCUAGCUGCGUUUGUAUGGAAUAUGCUGACUGCACGCCCUCUGUGUAUUUCUGUGCUACAUGAAACACUGAUGCCUCAGCCUACAUGCACUCAGCACUGUAUAACUUUCGAGUGAGAGACCAACGCUUGCUUCGGAAGAAAUAUCCUCCUGGCACUCGCGUCCGAUGCGGUUCCCCGUGUUAACGUUAGGCGUCGCUACCCGCUUUUUGCAGGUGGGCGUCCAGUGGCACCGUCAUGACAUACAGCUCAGCUCAGAGUCGUACUGCUUCUAGUUGGUCCGCAGUUCUAAGAUGUGUGCGUAUGUGGCUUACAUGUGAUGUUCCGGCCGUCCGUUUACUGGCUGAAUGUGUUUUGUAUGUGUAUUGUACGAACAAGGACUAACAAUGUUUGCGUGUUCUUAAAAUGUUCUUUCUUCACUUCGAUAUAAUGGGAAAGAUGUGCUUUGUGACGCUAUGGACUACAACAUUAUUCGUUAAGGAAUAUAACUGUAAAUUCAGUAUGUUUCCUUGUUCAUUAUGAGGUUUGUUGUGUUAAAGAUGGUACUGAGUCCCUGUUUUUCAGGGUCGAAGUGUUAGUGCUUUGCUCUCAUCGUGUGUUAGGUUAACCUCAAUUAGGCUAUAGCAUGGAACCAUCAUCUGUCUGCUCUUCUAACCUGCAACUCGCCUGCCUAGUGUCCAUUCUUCGUUUCAUAUCAGAACAUACCAGUCUAUGUUAACACUUUUAUUAAUUAUCCAUGCGUCUUUCCCAAGUUGUAUUGACUCAGAACUUUCUUCUAGUCUUUAUUGUAUUCUCUAAAAUGUUGUGACAGUAGAAACUGCUAAAAGACCUUGAUAGAAGUUGCUGGUCAACUUCAUAAACAGUCGUUUUGGUUUUGCAUUCUUUCAUUUAUGAUUAAGUAAACAUUUAAAGCGCGUAAAAUGAUUUAUAAUGUGUAAAAAUAACGUUGAACCGAGUUCUUUUGCCAGAAAAUAAAAGUGGGUUUAGAGGGAGUUGCUGGUCAACAACCUUUAUACAAACUCCAUCUUUCUUAAUAAAAAUUACACAUGAAAUAGGUGCAGUGGAAUCUAAAUAUUUAACUGGCAUAAAGGCGUGUGUGCAGAAAUAUCGUGACGAAGCUGGCCACCAAGUGUGUGUAAAAGGUGAUUUAAUUGAUUAAAGGGAGAAAUAAAUAGAAAAUUCAACUCUGUAAGAAAUUCCGUGUAUUGAAUUUGCGGAUCGACAACUCUUCUAUUCGUAUCUUUGAUGAAGAAACUGAUUAAGGAAUCUAAUCAUUGCUUUAGUAGUCACAUUGACUUAAAGUGAAUAAUCAGUGCAUUUGCAAGAUGCUACAUAUAGAAGUAACUGAAGUUGAAUUUACCACAAUGUAUCAUUUGAUUUGUGUUCCACAGAAAGAGAUCAAGUGGCAAGUGAGUUGCUAAAACUGAAAAUAGAACAAUCGCAAGCUAGUUACUUUUAUAUAGAUUAGCUUCUGUUUGACAAACCUCAAGUAACUAAAAUGUGAAUUAUGUACGUAAUUCAUUUGAAGGAAGUUGCAGGCCAAUUACUUUGAUGUAGUUACUUAUUUUUGGACACAUCCAAGAACGUGUUUGUUAAUUACCGACAUAUUGAAAGAAAUUGCAGGUCGAUUUCUUUAAAUAGUUUACAUAUUAUUGGAUGAAUUCCAAGAACGUGUGUGUAAACUGUGGACAUACUGGAAUUGAAAAACAAAUUGCCGGUCAAUUACUUUCAUUCCAAUACGUAUUGUUGGACAAAAAUCCAAUAACGAUAGUUUAGAUUAUCCAGAUAUUGGAUUUGAACGAAAUUGCUGGUCAAUUUCUUUUAUUACUUGUUCUUUGACACAUUCAAGACAUAUUGGCAUUGAAAGAAAUUGCAGGUCAAUUACUUUUAAAUAGUUAACUUACUGUUCAAAAGAGAUACAGAAACGUGUGUGUAAAUUAUCAACAUAUUUGAGUUUAAAGAAAUUGCUGGUCAGUUUUGUUGUUACUAAUUGUUGGACGUGAAUUUAAAAAAUUGGAGCUUAAAGUGAUGGAUUGCAAUUAUCGAUAGACCUCUGUGUGAAAACAUGUACAAGCCAAUGAAGUUUGUUACUUCUUGUUGGACUUACGGAAAAUGUUAACAUUGCAGCUUGUUACUGAAAGAAAAUAACUGAUUCUAAAAUAAGUUGCGUGCUGACUAUCUAUUUUUGGCGAGACUUCUUUUAUCACAUAAUUCUGGGAUUUAAUAACCGAAUAAAGUGGCGAAUCACUUGAGAUAAACUUAAUAUCACAUGACAUCGAGUGCUUUGCAUCCGAAAUUACGGUUGGACGGGCCCACGAAUGUUGCAGGUCAAUGAUUCUUUGCAAUAAAGCGUAGCUUUUAUUUUCUUUAUACGAAAUGUUGUGAUGUUUAUUCUGUUUUAAACAAAUAAGAGGUCUAAAAUAAACGUUUAUGCAACCGAUA